rnacentral:rRNA from 1 species
UACGUAGGGUGCGAGCGUUAAUCGGAAUUACUGGGCGUAAAGCGUGCGUAGGCGGUUCGUUAAGUCAGCUGUGAAAGCCCCGGGCUCAACCUGGGAACUGCGGUUGAAACUGGCGAACUAGAAUCUGGCAGAGGUGAGUGGAAUUCCGAGUGUAGAGGUGAAAUUCGUAGAUAUUCGGAAGAACACCAGUGGCGAAGGCGGCUCACUGGACCGGCAUUGACGCUGAUGUGCGAAAGCGUGGGGAGCAAACAGG